UUUAUUUUCUAAACCUGCCAUCAUCUCUUUCAUGGUUCAGUUUUACCUUUAAAGCAAAAUUACACACCUGUCACCUCUUAAUUGCAAUUUUGGGCAUGGUGAUGGGUGGUGGUUUUAAUGCUCUCUCCACCUGUGGCAUAUUUACAUCCUUCUUUGUGCUCUACUCUCUUUCUGUCUCAAUAAUUUCUUUUGUGAUGUUCUUUGGGAAGUAUAUUUUUAUAGAACCAACGAGAAUUCCUCUCUCCUCUUUUGCUCUUUUUAGUGUUGUGCUCUCCCUCCCUUGUUCUCAGCUGGCUCUCCCUAAUCUUUCAUGAAAACAUGCAAAGAAAGCAGGAGCAGGAGACACCAACAGCUCUAUUUUAAAUAACGGCCUUUACCAAUGGCGUUCUGAGUGUAUAUACAGAGAAAUUCACGAUGUGAUUCAGAAGUGACUGCAAAGACAGGCUAUGAGGCGCUGAGAAGCUGCAGUGAGCUCACAGCUGCAGCUGGUCAGCAAGGAGGGCAGGUCUGAUGGCCACGUGUCUGCUGGGCUCAACCAUCCUCAAGUGGAGGCAUAGAAAGAACAGGCACGAUGGGGGAGGUUCUCUGGCUGCAGCUGGCAGGAAAUCAACAUGAGCUAGGAGGAAAUGUAAAGAUGUGUAUUAAAAUGAAGGACCACCUUUCCCAUAAGCCUCCCCUAGCAUUAAUCUCUGCACUAUAAGCAGUCUACAGCAGCUCAGGACCCAUGCUGACCUCUCCUAGCCGUGGGGAAGAUUGCAGAGGAGCGAAGGAUCUUCACCUUUCUCUAGCAGAAGAUUGCAGCAGCUCGGUGUAUUCCUGUAGGGACGGGCUUGGGAUGUCUGCAGGCUGCCCCGGCUGAGAGGAUGUCAGAGGGAUGCAGCUCCGCAGCACAUGUGACACCCUCUAAAAGCUCUCCUCAUAACUCCUAACUACAGAGUGUCAUUGUGGACAAUCAACAUGUGGGGACACCUACUAAUGAUAAAUUUAGGAUGAAGAAUGUCUAAGUGCAAUGUUCUUUGAAGCACUAGGAUCUUAGAACAGCAUUUUAGUUUUCUUCAAAAGCAGUGAAAAUAUUUACCUGCAAACUUGAAAUAGUGUGGCAUGGAUCCUAGAACGUGUUGAUUGGAACACCCUGUUGUCUCCAUAAGAUUCUCAUUUACUGAGUUUCCACUGUUUACUGAGAUCAGGGCAGGACUAGAGAAUACUUCCUGCUCUCUGUGCUUGAGCUCAAGACCACUGUACCAGUGACUGCUGCUGUCUGCUGUGACUGUGUGCCUCCUCCGUACUCCACUUCAGUGGCUUUUCCAUGGUUAUGUAUCUCUGACAUGAGACCCAGCAACUGUCACAGCCUACUGUCACAAAACAAAACCCGAUGUUUUGACCACCACAAAUUAAUAUUGUAUUCUGUUGUUUGGCACUUCAUUAAAAAUAAAUUAUUCUACGUCUUCCUACUCAUCUAUCUUACACAGUGAUUUUCAGUUCAGAGACAUCGUUGGGGAUAAGACAACAAAGAAUGCCUGCAUAGCUAGAUGCUGGCAGAAGGCUUUUCCUUCCAUUCUUACUGAAGCAAAUGAUUUUAUUUUUUACUUUAAAAAAUGCAGUUGGUAUUUGAGAAGAGAGCUGCCCACUGCAGCUUUGAAGAAUCAGACAGCUGAGGCAGUACAGCAGUUUGGGCACCAGCACCUUUGGUGUUCUGAUGUUAUUGUAUUGCUUUCUACUUUUGCUGGGGAAGGGGGCAUGAUUUUAAUGAUUGAAUGGAAAGCCAUUUGGCUGAGAAAUACUUCUCUAGAUAUUGCAAAUGUUAAUACUAGGAAUAUAAAUGCAUAGAAAAGGGAGUACAGUUAGCUAUAAAAUUCCUACCAGAAGACUUGAC